rnacentral:rRNA from 1 species
UACAGAGGUCUCAAGCGUUGUUCGGAUUCAUUGGGCGUAAAGGGUGCGUAGGUGGCGCUGUAAGUCGGGUGUGAAAUUUCGGAGCUUAACUCCGAAACUGCAUUCGAUACUGCGGUGCUUGAGGACUGGAGAGGAGACUGGAAUUCAUGGUGUAGCAGUGAAAUGCGUAGAGAUCAUGAGGAAGACCAGUGGCGAAGGCGGGUCUCUGGAACGGUACUGACGCUGAGGCGCGAAAGCGUGGGGAGCGAACAGG